UCUCUGGGGAUCACUCAUUCUCCCUGCUCUGCUCACAGCUCCAGAACUCAGGACUGGCUCCGCAGCUCCAUGGCUGUGACUCCCUGUGUUCAGAUCCGGAUGCUGGCUCUGUGCUUUCGGUCCCCUCUGACCCAAAGCGGCUCUCUUCCUUCACUGCAGUAAGCUUUUACGCUGAGACAGAGAGGUCAAAGUCAGAGCGGAAUACACAGGCUUUGGAGACCCAACAGCAACAACAAACAUCUGAAUAAGAAUCACAGUUCCACCACUGACC
rnacentral:lncRNA from 1 species